AACGGUCUAUACCUGCGGUACCUGCGGAAGGAUCAUUACCGAGUGCGGGCCCUCUGGGUCCAACCUCCCACCCGUGUUUACCGUACCUUGUUGCUUCGGCGGGCCCGCCGUCAGGCCGCCGGGGGCUCCCCGCCCCGGGCCCGCGCCCGCCGAAGACACCCCUGAACGCUGUCUGAAGAAUGCAGUCUGAGCGAUAAGCAAAAUUUAGUUAAAACUUUUAGCAAUGGAUCUCUAGAUCGG
rnacentral:misc_RNA from 1 species